AGUCACUGACAUUAGAUACCCGCGUAGUCCAGGGUGCAAACGCUGCGGGCUUGGUGUUGGGGGUCCUUUGAGGGCGCCCAGUGCCGGAGAGAAGUUGUUAAGCCUGCUGCUUGGGGAGUACGUCCGCAAGGAUGAAACUUAAAGGAAUUGGCGGGGGAGCACCGCAACGGGAGGAGCGUGCGGUUCAAUUGGAUUCAACGCCGGACAACUCACCAGGAGCGACGGUUACAUGAAGGCCAGGCUGAUGACCUUGCCUGAUUUUCCG
rnacentral:rRNA from 1 species